AUUGAACGCUGGCGGCAGGCUUAACACAUGCAAGUCGAGCGAGCGGCGGACGGGUGAGUAAUGUCUGGGAAACUGCCUGAUGGAGGGGGAUAACUACUGGAAACGGUAGCUAAUACCGCAUACCAUCAGAUGUGCCCAGAUGGGAUUAGCUAGUAGGUGGGGUAAGGGCUCACCUAGGCGACGAUCCCUAGCUGGUCUGAGAGGAUGACCAGCCACACUGGAACUGAGACACGGUCCAGACUCCUACGGGAGGCAGCAGUGGGGAAUCUUCCACAAUGGGCGAAAGCCUGAUGGAGCAACGCCGCGUGUAUGAAGAAGGCCUUCGGGUCGUAAAGCUCUUUUAUUAGGGAGGCGUUACCUAAAGAAGAAGCCACGGCUAACUACGUGCCAGCAGCCGCGGUAAUUC
rnacentral:rRNA from 1 species